UACGAAGGGGGCUAGCGUUGCUCGGAAUCACUGGGCGUAAAGCGCACGUAGGCGGAUCUUUAAGUCAGGGGUGAAAUCCUGGAGCUCAACUCCAGAACUGCCUUUGAUACUGGGGAUCUCGAGUCCGGAAGAGGUGGGUGGAACUCCGAGUGUAGAGGUGAAAUUCGUAGAUAUUCGGAAGAACACCAGUGGCGAAGGCGGCUCACUGGUCCGGUACUGACGCUGAGGUGCGAAAGCGUGGGGAGCGAACAGG
rnacentral:rRNA from 1 species